AAUAUAUUAGUUUAAUUAAAAUAUUAGUUUGUCAAGCUAAAGAUAGAAUAAAUUC
rnacentral:tRNA from 1 species